AUACGAAAGAUGCAAGCGUUGUUCGGAUUUACUGGGCGUAAAGAGAGUGUAGGUUGUUUAUUAAGUCGGAUGUGAAAUCCCGGGGCUCAACCUCGGAACUGCAUUCGAUACUGAUAGGCUAGAGUUUGGGAGGGGUAAGCGGAAUUCCGUGUGUAGCAGUGAAAUGCGUAGAUAUACGGAGGAACACCUGAGGCGAAGGCGGCUUACUGGACCAAUACUGACACUGAGACUCGAAAGCGUGGGUAGCAAACAGGAUUAGAAACCCUAGUAGUCC
rnacentral:rRNA from 1 species